CCGAGGCAGCAGUGGGGAAUAUUGGUCAAUGGACGCAAGUCUGAACCAGCCAUGCCGCGUGAAGGAUGAAGGCCCUCUGGGUUGUAAACUUCUUUUAUCUGGGACGAAAAAAGGGAAUUCUUUCUCACUUGACGGUACCAGAGGAAUAAGCACCGGCUAACUCCGUGCCAGCAGCCGCGGUAAUACGGAGGGUGCAAGCGUUAUCCGGAUUCACUGGGUUUAAAGGGAGCGUAGGUGGGUCUGUAAGUCAGUGGUGAAAUCUCCGAGCUUAACUCGGAAACUGCCAUUGAUACUAUAGGUCUUGAAUUAUCUGGAGGUAAGCGGAAUAUGUCAUGUAGCGGUGAAAUGCUUAGAUAUGACAUAGAACACCAAUUGCGAAGGCAGCUUGCUACGGAUAUAUUGACACUGAGGCUCGAAAGCGUGGGGAUCAAACAGGAUUAGAAACCCUUGUAGUCCU
rnacentral:rRNA from 1 species